rnacentral:rRNA from 1 species
CAGGCGGCGUGCUUAGACAUGCAGUCGAACGGGCAUCUUCGGAUGCCAGUGGCGCACGGGUGAGUAGCGCGUGACUGACCUGCCCCAAAGUCCUCGGAUAACUGGCUGAAAGGUCAGCUAAUACGGGAUGUGCAGCAUCCUCGUGUGGAUGUUGUAAAGGCUAUGACCGCUUUGGGAUGGGGUUGCGUUCCAUCAGCUAGUUGGUGGGGUAAAGGCCCACCAAGGCGACGACGGAUCACCGGCCUGAGAGGGUGGCCGGUCACAGGGGCACUGAGACACGGGUCCCACUCCUACGGGAGGCAGCAGUUAGGAACCUUCCCCAAUGGACGAAAGUCUGAGGGAGCGACGCCGCGUGAGGGAUGAAGGUUUUCGGAUCGUAAACCUCUGAAUCUGGGACGAAAGACCGGGACAACCGGAGAUGACGGUACCAGAGUAAUAGCACCGGCUAACUCCGUGCCAGCAGCCGCGGUAAU